ACAUCCAUAUUCAUAACUCAAGUCAGCUGGAAAGUUGUACAUUUUUCUUUCUGGGAAGUCAUGGCGACAAAGACUGAAGACCCAGGCAGCACAAAUGUGAAUGAUGGGUUUGCUGGAGUUUGGAUUUACUACUGAGUCAUAUUUGGAGCAUGCUGGAAUCUUACAACUGAGAUUACCGAGUCAGAAACUAGUUUGACUGUUCUCGUCGGCAUGGUUGAGACAUUAUCCCUGGCAGAAGGCUGGACUGGCAUGGACAUCAUUUGAUGAGUUCGUCUCCUCUUAACAAUCAAAGCCUGUUUUCCAGUGCGAAUAAACUGUUGCCUUAUAUAUUGUUUUCCCAUUUUUAUAGUUGUUUACUGCAAAAAAGAGUCUGGUACAAGUUACUUUGCUAAAACCUUGAUAAAGUUUUAUUCUACGAUUCUUCAAUCAAUGUUUCUGUUUUGUUUAUUCUGUUAUCUCUGUUGUGUCAUACCAUAAUUCUCUCAUUAAUAGCUCAUAUUCUUUUUCAUAGCUAUUCAAUUCUUUAGCAGUUUCUACUUUUAUGUUUGGGAGAAAAUUGAAAGCUUGAUUUCUUAUUUUGACAAGUUUUCUAAAGGUUUCAGCAUGCAAUAUUUUUUUUCAUAGCCUUACAGUUUGUAAUAGUUCAUCUGAUUGUAAAGCUCUUACAAUCUUUCCUGAUUUUAAGUCAUUUUAACAACGACUUUCUCUCUUUUUUAUUUUUAAGAAACAAUGUCCUCCUUUUCAUUUGUUGAGAACUCUACUCAGCUUUUAAAAAACUUCCUGUGUAUGUACCUUAAUUCUUUUGACAAUAAAACAUUACUCUGAAUAUUCAAA
rnacentral:lncRNA from 1 species